CUUUCAAAGCCCUCCCCUUGGUGUUUUUCUCAGGUACCUUUCCUGCAUUUCCACUGGGCUGUCCUGAGACACCCGAGUGGGUGUGAAGUGGUUUGGAUAUGCAUUUCCCUCAUGGCUAAUGAGAUUGAGCCUCCUUUCCUGGGCUUUGAAACCUUUGAUGCAUGCUGUGAAUCUUCAAAAGUCAGCACAGUAGGCAGCAGUUGUUCCUAAAGGGUAAGAAAGGACCUCAGCUUCCUAAAGGGACAAAAAGACCUCCAGGAUGAGGGACAGGCACUUUGGGAACUGUGGAAACCAGAAGGUAGCGGAAUGACAUAUAAAAAGUGCUAAAAUGAAAAUAACUACCAACUAAGAAUUCUACAUCCAGCAAAAUAUUCAUUUAAAAAUGAAGAAAUUAAGGCAAGAGUGGAAUUAAAA